AGAUGUAAGCUACUGCUUUCUGUUGCUAUAUUGCCUUCAAAUCUCAGUUCCAUGUAUCCUAAAAUCAAUCGCAUUCACCAUAUGGGGUUAUAUUGAAGGCUCUGUCAGAGAGGCUUUUGUUGGCAGUGCUAUAAAUUUCAUGAGGAUCCUAAUUUUAUUUUGGGCGGUUCCAUAUAAAUGGAUAUGGAGUGUUGCAUGGUGCGAAAUAUUCACAUACAUGGCUCUGCCUUUGGACAAUAUGGUCAUUACAACAGGGAUCAAUUCUGUUGUUCUCCAGACGCUUUUUACAUACCUGGGUAAAGAAUUAGG